CAGGCUAUGGGGCGGGCUAUGGGGCAGGCAAUGCAUUGGGCUAUGGGGCGGGCUGUGGGUCCUGCCAUGGGUCUCGCUAUGGGGCAGGCUAUGGGGCAGGCAAUGCAUUGGGCUAUGGGGCAGGCUAUGGGGUGGGCUAUGGGGCGGGCUAUGGGUCUCACUAUGGGUCUGGCCGUGGGUCUCGCUAUGGGGCAGGCUAUGGGUCCUGCCAUGGGUCUCACCAUGGAUCUCACUAUGGGGCAGGCUAUGGGGCAGGCUAUGGGGCGGGCUAUGGGGUUGGGCUGUGGGUCGCACUAUGGGUCAGGCAAUGCAUUGGGCUAUAGGGUGGGCUAUGGGGCGGGCUAUGGGUCCUGCUGUGGGUCUGGCCGUGGGUCUCACUAUGGGGUGGGCUAUGGGGCGGGCUAUGGGUCCCACCAUGGGUCUUGCUAUGGAUCUCACUAUGGGGCGGGCUAUGGGGCAGGCUAUGGGUCCUGCCAUGGGUCUCACUAUGGGGUGGGCUAUGGGUCAGGCAAUGCAUUGGGCUAUGGGGUGGGCUAUGGGUCCUGCCAUGGGUCCGGCCGUGGGUCUCACUAUGGGGCAGGCUGUGGGUCAGGCAAUGUAUUGGGCUAUGGGGCGGGCUAUGGGGUGGGCUAUGGGUUACACUG
rnacentral:lncRNA from 1 species